CAGUCGCCGCGGUAAUACAGAGGAUGCAAGCGUUAUCCGGAAUGAUUGGGCGUAAAGCGUCUGUAGGUGGCUUUUCAAGUCCGCCGUCAAAUCCCAGGGCUCAACCCUGGACAGGCGGUGGAAACUACCAAGCUAGAGUACGGUAGGGGCAGAGGGAAUUUCCGGUGGAGCGGUGAAAUGCGUUGAGAUCGAAAAGAACACCAACGGUGAAAGCACUCUGCUGGGCCGACACUGACACUGAGAGACGAAAGCUAGGGGAGCAAAUGGGAUUAGAUACCCCCGUAGUCCCUGUCUCUUAUAC
rnacentral:rRNA from 1 species